rnacentral:lncRNA from 1 species
CAUUGCUUGAAACCCAAGUUAUUAUAUACGGAUGCCAGAAAAAAGGUAACACAUCUUAUACAUUUGAAUUACAAAACUCUAAGUGGAAACAGGCUUUGCCCCCAUUGAUGCUCACCACUUCUUUAUUAAUUGACCAUAUACAAAGAUAAGGUCGAGCUCCCCUCCCCUUUUCUCUCUCGAGUCGAAGCCUUCAGAUCUGAGCGCGUGUUGGUGUCAAGACGCCGCGGUCUUCCAGUUCUCCGGUUAGGUGAGCUCUGGAGGUUCUUUUAUUCAGGGACGCAUGCAGGGGAAUGGCUUCGCUGUGUAGCGGUGCCUCUCUUCUGGUUACGGCCUGUGGUUUACCGAGUUGCUUCAUAGCCGAGCGGUCGUCUAUGGCUGUCUUGGUUCAAGCUACUUCGGCCACCCUCCUCUCCUUUUGUCUCUGCUGCGAUUAGUUGUUCACAGACCACCUUCGCGGAAGUGGCGUCCUUCGGCUUGGUGCUUGCUUGUGGGUUUCAUUGUUUAUUUGGUUCUCGUUGUCAACGAGACCAUCUCUUCUUUGUUCUGUUGUGGUCCGUUUCUUGGUUCUCAAGAGCGGCUGUAGGCGUGGUGCUUUGUUAGCCGUGUUGUCUCCUGCUUCUGGGUGCCUUGGUGACUCCUACUUUGUUGACAGCUCAUCCCGGUGUUUCCUCUGGUGCUUAUCAGCACUGGCGAACCGAGGUAGAGAACAAUAGGUGCACUUGCCCCCAUAAUAAUUUAAAAUUUUAGUAUAUUUCUUAACAAAAUGGAUGUCUACACUUAUAAUCAAAUGUAAGUUUACACCUAUUCUAGCAUUUAUGCACCCACUGAAAAAAAAUCUUUAGAUUCACCCAUGCUUAUCAGUGGAGGCAGAGUUUGUUUUCUAACCAUCUUAUGCAGGUUCUCGAGCUUCGGCGGACAAUGGUUAGCGACUUUCACAAACCCGUCUUGGUAAGUCUCGAGCUUCAUUGAAAGCUUCAGAUGCAGCGGUGAUGAGAAAGUGGAGAUUUCGGUCUUCUGCCCCGAUUAACCAGAACAGCCAACCACACGGAUGUCGGGUCCGGGGAUAUGCAAGCGACUCAGCCGUGUAUCCUUUUUCGUGUUGGGUCCGGAGAAGCGAAGUAACCCAUCUGUAUAUCAUUCGGAAGUGUAGCAGAGUAGUCUUAGUCGUAUGAUUUUAUUCGAUUCAUCGUUUGUAUUCCAAAGUUUAAUGCCCUUUUUGGGAAGAUUUAUAAAAUUGUAAAUAAUUUUUUUAAAGAAAAAAAAAGAUAAGGUCGAGAUUGAUUGAAC